CUUCACACUCAUCCGAUUCACUGAUAGGUAAUUCACUCCCGGAGAUGGAUACGCGUCGUUGAACAGGAGUGCUGCUGCGGGACACAACAUAUAUAACACUCUCAGAUUGUGGUGGCAAAAAAAACGAGAUGAUCACCGGACGAGGCGAAUAAACAUAAACCAAUGGAGACGUAAUGAAAAAAAAUGUAAAGUAUACAUACAUAGCAUGGGAAAUGAUAAUCAGAACGAUGACGUGUGUAAAAACGAAGCAAAAAAGGAUUAAAUAACGAGUUUAGCAGCUUA